rnacentral:rRNA from 1 species
AUGUCCCGUCACCGCAUGGUGUGCGGGUGGAAAGAUUUUUCGGUUGGGGAUGGGCUCGCGGCCUAUCAGCUUGUUGGUGAGGUAAUGGCUCACCAAGGCGUCGACGGGUAGCCGGCCUGAGAGGGUGACCGGCCACACUGGGACUGAGACACGGCCCAGACUCCUACGGGAGGCAGCAGUGGGGAAUAUUGCACAAUGGGCGCAAGCCUGAUGCAGCAACGCCGCGUGAGGGAUGACGGCCUUCGGGUUGUAAACCUCUUUUAGCAGGGAAGAAGCGAGAGUGACGGUACCUGCAGAAAAAGCACCGGCUAACUACGUGCCAGCAGCCGCGGUAAUACGUAGGGUGCAAGCGUUAUCCGGAAUUAUUGGGCGUAAAGAGCUCGUAGGCGGUCUGUCGCGUCUGCUGUGAAAUCCCGAGGCUCAACCUCGGGCUUGCAGUGGGUACGGGCAGACUAGAGUGCGGUAGGGGAGAUUGGAAUUCCUGGUGUAGCGGUGGAAUGCGCAGAUAUCAGGAGGAACACCGAUGGCGAAGGCAGAUCUCUGGGCCGUAACUGACGCUG